CCCAGACUCCUACGGGAGGCAGCAGUGGGGAAUAUUGGACAAUGGGGGGAACCCUGAUCCAGCGACGCCGCGUGAGUGAAGAAGUAUUUCGGUAUGUAAAGCUCUAUCAGCAGGGAAGAAAGAAAUGACGGUACCUGACUAAGAAGCCCCGGCUAACUACGUGCCAGCAGCCGCGGUAAUACGUAGGGGGCAAGCGUUAUCCGGAUUUACUGGGUGUAAAGGGAGCGUAGACGGCGAUGCAAGUCUGAAGUGAAAGGCGGGGGCCCAACCCCCGGACUGCUUUGGAAACUGUAUAGCCGGAGUGCAGGAGAGGGAAGUGGAAUUCCUAGUGUAGCGGUGAAAUGCGUAGAUAUUAGGAGGAACACCAGUGGCGAAGGCGGCUUACUGGACUGUAACUGACGUUGAGGCUCGAAAGCGUGGGGAGCAAACAGGAUUAGAUACCCGAGUA
rnacentral:rRNA from 1 species